AGAGUUUGAUCCUGGCUCAGGACGAACGCUGGCGGCGUGCUUAACACAUGCAAGUCGAACGGGAUGAAGAGAGAAGCUUGCUUCAUUCUUCAUUUAGUGGCAAACGGGUGAGUAACACGUAAACAACCUGCCUUCAGGAUGGGGACAACAGACGGAAACGACUGCUAAUACCGAAUACGCUCCAAGAGCCGCAUGGUUUUUGGAGGAAAGGGUGGCCUCUACUAGUAAGCUAUCGCCUGAAGAGGGGUUUGCGACUGAUUAGGCAGUUGGUGAGGUAACGGCCCACCAAACCGACGAUCAGUAGCCGGUCUGAGAGGAUGAACGGCCACACUGGAACUGAGACACGGUCCAAACUCCUACGGGAGGCAGCAGUAGGGAAUCUUCCACAAUGGACGCAAGUCUGAUGGAGCAACGCCGCGUGAGUGAAGAAGGCUUUCGGGUUGUAAAGCUCUGUUAAUCGGGACGAAAGGCCUUCUUGCGAAUAGUGAGAAGGAUUGACGGUACCGGAAUAGAAAGCCACGGCUAACUACGUGCCAGCAGCCGCGGUAAUACGUAGGUGGCAAGCGUUAUCCGGAUUUAUUGGGCGUAAAGCGAGCGCAGGCGGAUCAGUCAGUCUGUCUUAAAAGUUCGGGGCUUAACCCCGUGAUGGGAUGGAAACUGCCAAUCUAGAGUAUCGGAGAGGAAAGUGGAAUUCCUAGUGUAGCGGUGAAAUGCGUAGAUAUUAGGAAGAACACCAGUGGCGAAGGCGGCUGUCUGGUCUGUAACUGACGCUGAGGCGCGAAAGCCAGGGGAGCGAACGGGAUUAGAUACCCCGGUAGUCCUGGCCGUAAACGAUGGGUACUAGGUGUAGGAGGUAUCGACCCCUUCUGUGCCGGAGUUAACGCAAUAAGUACCCCGCCUGGGGAGUACGACCGCAAGGUUGAAACUCAAAGGAAUUGACGGGGGCCCGCACAAGCGGUGGAGUAUGUGGUUUAAUUCGACGCAACGCGAAGAACCUUACCAGGUCUUGACAUCCUUUGACCACUCUAGAGAUAGAGCUUCCCCUUCGGGGGCAAAGUGACAGGUGGUGCAUGGUUGUCGUCAGCUCGUGCCGGGAGAUGUUGGGUUAAGUCCCGCAACGAGCGCAACCCCUAUCUUCUGUUGCCAGCACCUUGGGUGGGAACUCAGAAGAGACCGCCGCGGACAACGCGGAGGAAGGCGGGGACGACGUCAAGUCAUCAUGCCCCUUAUGGCCUGGGCUACACACGUACUACAAUGGGUGUCAACAAAGAGAAGCGAAAGGGCGACCUGGAGCGAACCUCAAAAACACACCCCCAGUUCAGAUCGCAGGCUGCAACCCGCCUGCGUGAAGCAGGAAUCGCUAGUAAUCGCGGGUCAGCAUACCGCGGUGAAUACGUUCCCGGGCCU
rnacentral:rRNA from 1 species